UGCAAACCAGGAGACAGCCUGUGUGGCAGUGGCCGCUGUCCUCCUCCACUCCUCACCUGGACCCUGGCGCCAUGGUUGUGUACAGACAAGAUGGACGGACGCCAUGCUUCUGGACAUAUUCUGAGUGACUACUUGAAAAUCUCUCCAAAGACAUGAAAGCAGAAAGCACACUUUCUGCUGACAAAGGAACUCAACUCUGCAAAUUGCCAGUGCAGUUUAUUUUUGAAUAAUCAUCAUAGGACUGCACCAUCCGAAGCAGGAGCCAGUGUCUACACGAGUCACACUUAACUUCACUAAAAUGAAAUAAAAUAGAAGUCAGACCUUGACUGCACUAGCCAUACUUCACAUGCUCACAGGUCGUAUUUGGUGACCCCAACACCAAGCAAAACAGAAGGGGACAUUUCCAUUGCUGAAAACUGUGUGCUACCAGAGAGCCCGGGCUGCACCUUUACGCUCUCGUCAGCUAGUUAUGAUCAUCCACUUUCAACCACAAAGCACAGAUGGACACACCACUCAAUUCUGCUUAAAGACUGAAAAUAAAAAGUUUUCAGGGGACACAACAUCUUUGUUUGUAUGUGGUGCUGAGGAUCGAACCCGGGCCGCACGCAUGCGCCAUCUUCCCACGAUGGCUCACUAUUGGUUGUUCAGUCUACACUGGCUGAAACCACGUGUGCAUUCACUGCUUACCAGGACCUGCUCCAGAGCCUGCAGCAACACUGACAUCUCCACGCUCCUUCCAGCAAACCCCACACACUGCAUCCUGAUGCUUCUGGACUAGAUUGCUUCUCAAAUGUCUCCAAAUUCACUUUCACUUUCAAGGAACCAAAACAUGACACUCACAUGAUACGGUGCUUGUUCUAAAACAUAAUUCAGAAUUAUGAUCAGUAGACAUGUCAAAGACAAGAUCUUGGAUAGAUAUUAAAUUAAUGAUGAGUGAAUGUGCUGUUGCAUGUCUUAAAGUGGCAUAAUAUUGAACUCAAUGACCUAGUAUAACUCCCAGUGUAAAAUUGUUGUUUUUACAUGUUGCCUUUUCAAAUUUUGAUUGAUUGCAGUGUUUUGAAAGUUUGUAAAAUGAAUUGGGUAACAGUCCAUGAACUUGUACUCCAGAACUUAUUAAAUAUUAUGGAAUCUAUCCUUUUUUAAUGUUGAAAAAUAAUAAAUCCCUAGUAUCAUUCUUA